UGCGGCAAGCUGGAGUGGCGGCAGCGGCGGCGGCGGCGGCUGGAUCGAUCGCGCUAGGGUGAGGCCCGCGACGCUGGGAUGAGAGGGAUUUUGGCGCAGCGCCAUGCUCAGGGUUUGAGGAAAUAUGGGGGGAGCGCCUAGGGUUUUGGGGGGAUUGCGCUGCGUGGCCGUGACGAUCGAGCAGGGCAGGCUGCUGUGGAAGGAUCGGCUGGGCAAAAUGAGGCUCCUGGAGGAUCACGGCAGGAAUUUCGGUAUUUGAGGCAUGGUCGGGGAGAAGAACCCGGGAGCUUGGAUGUCUUCUGAAGGUCCGGAUGGGAUUCCGGGCGCCGGCAUCAAGCCUUCGAGCUGGCGGCCCAGGGUUCUUGGCUUCCAGCCUUAUAAUUCCAUGCGGAGCUCGCCAGAGACGAGCUUCCGCGCCAUAGCUCCUCCACGGAUAUGUGUUAGGCUUACAAAAUUUAUAGUCGAAACUUAUCGCUCCUGCAAUCCCUCUUUCACGUACUCGGAUACUUUUAAUCCAAAGAGGUACUUGACGAACCCAUCCGCUGGAGUGUCUAACAAUGGUUUGGACAAUAAGAACUCAGAUCUCAUUCUCGCAGUGAAUGGGAUCAUUUACAACCCCAAGCACAGAUAUGUUGUCAAGGAAAUGCUUGGCCAAGGGACAUUUGGUCAGGUUGUAAAAUGCUGGUCCGAUCGCGAGAAUGGCUACGUUGCCGUGAAAGUGAUCAAGAACCAACCUGCCUACUAUCAACAGGCUCUGGUGGAGAUUGAGAUAUUGAAAAUGCUCAAUCGGGACUUCGAUCCAGACAAUCAACACCAUAUUGUACGCAUUUUGGACUGGUUUCUGUUCGAGCAACACCUUUGUAUUGCUUUCGAGCUGCUCUCCCACAACCUAUACGAGCUUAUCAAAGUCAACCGUCACAGGGGGAUUUCGUUGCAUCUGCUUCGGAUCUUCACAAAACAGAUUCUUGACUCCUUGGGUGUUCUUCGGAACGCAGGUGUAAUUCAUUGCGAUUUGAAGCCGGAAAACAUUCUGCUUUCCACCAGUCUCAAGUCGGGUGAAAUCAAGCUCAUUGAUUUUGGCUCUGCGUGCUUAGAGCACCGUACCGUAUACAAAUACAUACAGAGUCGAUACUACCGGUCUCCAGAAGUUGUUCUUGGUCAUCCAUAUACCACCGCAAUCGACAUGUGGUCGCUUGGAUGCGUGGCAGCUGAGCUUUUCCUUGGCCUACCUUUGUUUUCGGGUGAAUCAGAGUAUGAUUUACUCCGACGCAUGAUUGAUACACUGGGGUGUCAACCGCCGGAUCAGCUUCUACGGGAUUCCGCAAACACGAGCAAGUAUUUUAAAACUGUGUCUGCUGCUCCUCCUUCAAGCGGUGGUAUGGCUGUGUAUCAGUUUCUUACAGUAAGCGAAGUUAAAGCUAGGGAAUCAAAGGAACCUCUAGUUGGGAAAAGCUAUUUUAGACAUACGAAGCUGGAAGACAUUAUUUCGAAGUAUCCGUACAAAAGUUCACUGUCGGCGGAGGAGCAAGAAGCUGAACGCCAGAGACGAUUAAGCUUCUUGGACUUUUUACGGGGUCUUGUGCGCUUCGACCCGAAGAGCCGUUGGACGCCUCACCAGGCGGCACAACAUCCUUUUGUCACCGAACAACCUUUCACCGGCCCUUUUGAACCACUUCCUGAGACGCCUCGAACUCCUGUUGGUCAUCCAAUGACUGUGGAGCAUAAUCCUGGAGCGGGCCAUUGGUUCGGUGCGGGGCUCUCCCCUCAGGUCUCGCAUAUUCCCGUCCCCCUGCCACCGUAUAGCAGCCCUCAGUAUUACGGAGGACAAUUUUCUUUUGCUAGCAGCUACGGUAGCUGCGGUAGCUACGGAAGCUGUGAUGGAUAUGGUAUGGGUGGCAGCUACACAGGAAGCUACACUGAAGCCAGCAAUAUGUAUUGCAAUUACCCGACGCCACCUCAAAUAGGAUACGAACAAUGGCGAAGGUUACAUCCUCCUAUACCAGCUGGUUAUGGACAACUUGGGAGAAGCCCUUCUAGCAGUGUCUUCACGCCUAUGUCGCUCGGAGGGAGUCCGUCGCAGUUCACCCCACCGAGCUCGCAGUUUCCUUCUCCAGGCUCCUCACCUGGAAGAUGCGGGCCUCCAUCUCCAGCACGAUACGGGAAAGCGGCUUCCGUGAGUCAUUAUAAGCAACGGAGAGGUUUAUAUGCUCCAAUGAACCAAAGUCCUGGAUACGACGGUUCCUGGCAGCAUAUGCCAGCGAAUGGUUCGUUUGAAGCACACGGUAGCCACCUCGAGGCUGGACCAUCUGGGAGUUACUCACGACCUUAUGGACAGUCCCACUUGAGACCAGCAAUGAAGUCGAGCAGCUACAAAGCUGGUUCAUUGGCAUCUUACCUCUCAACAUCGGAGACUAUAGUCGAAGCCGCGGAGUCUCAUCAAGACGCUGGUGACUGGUUUCCAAACGACAGUAUAGACUUGCUAGAAGAUGACAGCGGCCAUAGGCACCUUCCGGCUGGAGGGACAAACAGGCUAAUACCUGGACACGGAGUCCCUGGUCCUUACCAUGGCUAAGCGAGCCACUGCAUUCUUCUCAAGCCGCCGGCGGUAAGUCAAUGCUGCAUGGCUCGUUUGAUGAGACGCAUCACGCCUCAUCAUCGCAUCGCGUUCCCUUCCCUUCGCCCCCUAGCCGAUUAAAUCAGCCGCUCAGCUCUCAGCAUCAAAGGAAGCAGCAGCAACAGCCGCCGCAAGCCUCUCCAGAUUUACGCGCGAUAUACCAACCGGGCUACCCGCAUUCAUACACAGGUUUUAUUGCUGGAUCAUAUCCCCGUCCGCCAGUAUCCAAUGAACAGGUCGAGAGGCAGCUAGCUGGAGUAGUUCUCUGAGAGAUUUUAAAGAGCGUGGUCCAGUUCCUGGUGGUGGUGUUGGUUGCGCUUGGGCCGGUCAUUGAUGAUGCUAGGUGAGCAAUUCGGUUUCCAAUCCAAGUCGCUCGCUAAGGUACGAAAAGUAUAUGAUCGAUUCAACUACACGACGAAUAAGAAACAAGGAAGCUUGAGAUUGCAUGGGACCAGCGCACGAUGAUGACCAUCGAAAGAACGACGAAGAAAAAUGGAUUUUAGAAUAUUUUAAAAGAUAAUUUAAGAUAUUUUAUGUACGGCACUGGUUUGCCUCGUGUUUCCGGACAGGGCGGUGCUUCGCUGUCGUGUCGAGGAAAUAAAAAUGGUUUCUACAAAA